AUGGGAUUUAGCUAUUUCCUGAUCAAUAACAAUAGAGAUACUUGGAAUAACAGAAUCAGGUCUUGGAAACUACAAUCUCCACCCUACUCAGGGUAACAAGAUCAGGAAGGGCUGCAGCAAAACUCAAGAUUUAAUUAUUUGAGAAUAUGGCCUUCAACAGACAUGUGCAAAAAGGACAGACCUCUGGGUGGUCCUAGGUAAAGCUAGAGCCACCAUUGGUACAGGGAGACACAGGAAGUGAGGUAGAGGACAGCUCAGGAGUUCUGGGGACUUCCUGUGUGGAGGGAAGAAGGUGGUUGGAGCCUGGUGUUUGGAGUGGAGGAGCCCACAGACUGUUUCUCCAUUUUGGUCAUACUGUGAAUACCUUUAGAGAAGAAGCUAUUUUUGCCUUUCUUAUAUCUCCAGCAAAAGUAUAUGUGUGGGCUUUCAACUCUUCACUCAAGCUUGGUGUCAGGAUCUACUGCUGCAACCUCAUCCCUGAAAACAAAAUAAUGAAGGUCAGAAUCAACAGAUUUGGCCAUAAUGGACUGCUGGUGACCAGAGCUGCAUUCAACUCUCUCAGAGUAGAUGAUGGGGCCAUCAGUGACACUUCAUCAAGACUGAGAAGGGGGCGGUGCAGCUGGGUGGCUCAGUAGAUUGAGAGUCAGGCCCAGAGAUUGGGGGUUCUGGUUUCAAAUCUGGCCUCAGACACUUUCCCAGCUUUGUAGCCCUGGGCAAGUCACUUUACCCCCAUUGCCUAGCCUUUACCAUUCUUCUGCCUAAGAACCAAUUCACAGUAUUGAUUUCAAGAUGGAAGGUAAGGGUUUUUUUUUUAAUGGCUGAGAAUGGAAAGAUGGUGAUCAAUGAAAAAGCCAUUACCAUCUUCCAGGAGCAGUAUCCCACCAAUAUUAAAUGGGGAGGGGGGUGCUGUAAUUGAAUAUGUUGUAGAACACACUGAUGUCUUUACCACCUUGAAAAAGGUCAGGGCUCACUUGAAGAGUGAAGUCAAAUAGGUCAUUAUCUCUGUCCCUUCUGCUGAUGCCCCAAUGUUUGUGAUGGAAGUGAACCAUGAGAAAUAUAAUUCCCUUAAGAUCAUCAUUAAUGCCUCCUCUACUACCAAACACUUAGUGCCCUUGACUAAAGUCAUUCAUGAUAUCUUAGGCACUGUGAAAUAACUCAUGACCCCAGUACAUGCCAUUACUGCUACCCAGAAGACAUUAAUCCUCUGGCAACCUGGGGUGUGGUGGUCAUGAUGCUUCCCAAAGUAUCCCUGCUCCUUCUGGUGCUUCUAAGGCUGGAGGCAUGAUCAUACCUGAGCUAAAUGGGAAGCAAACAGGUAUGGCAUCCUACGUUUCCAAACCCAAGGUAUCCAUUGUAAAUAUUACUUGCUGCCUGGAGAAAUGUCAAAUAUGAUGAUAUCAAGAAAGGGGCAAAACAAGAAUCAGAGGGACCCUGAAGGGUAUCUUGGGCUACACAGAGAACCAGGUUGUAGCCUGUGACUUUAAUAGCAAUAGCCACUCUUCUACCUUUGAUGCUGGCACUGCUUUUAUGGUCAACAACUAUUUUGUCAAGAGCAUUUCUUGCUUUGACAAUGAGUACAGUAAUAGUAACUGUGUAGUAGAUCUCAUGGUCUACAUGGCCUCCAAGGAGUAAAGUGAGAGCCUUCGAUUUUCAUUCCCAGCCAAAAAAGGAGUUACAUCACUGUGGAGCCCACAUCCUUAAACUAUGUCCAUAUGUUGAGGUUCUCAUUCUCCAUUCAUAUCCUUGCCCCAAAGCACCUCUAUAACAGGGAGAGGAACAGAGUCCUUUAUUAUGUACCAUCAAUAAAGUCACCAUAUUCAGUGCA
ensembl:lncRNA